rnacentral:rRNA from 1 species
GACGAAACGUGCGAACGUUAUUCGGAAUCACUGGGCUUAAAGCGCGUGUAGGCGGAUGGGUACGUCGGUCGUUGAAAGCCCCCGGCUCAACCGGGGAAUGGGCGCCGAAACGACCCGUCUGGAGGGACGUAGGGGGACCUGGAACUUCCGGUGGAGCGGUGAAAUGCGUUGAGAUCGGAAGGAACGCCCGUGGCGAAAGCGAGGUCCUGGACGUCUACUGACGCUGAGACGCGAAAGCUAAGGUAGCGAACGGG